AGAGUUUGAUCAUGGCUCAGAAUCAACGCUGGCGGCGUGCCUAACACAUGCAAGUCGCACGAGAAAGUGGAGCAAUCCAUGAGUAAAGUGGCGCACUGGUGAGUAACACGUGACUAACCUACCCUUGAGUGGGGAAUAACCUCGGGAAACCGGGGCUAAUACCGCAUAACACCUAUGGGUCAAAGCCGAAAGGCGCUUAAGGAGGGGGUCGCGGCUGAUUAGCUAGUUGGUAGGGUAAUGGCCUACCAAGGCGACGAUCAGUAUCCGGCCUGAGAGGGCGCACGGACACACUGGAACUGAAACACGGUCCAGACUCCUACGGGAGGCAGCAGUGGGGAAUUUUGCACAAUGGGGGAAACCCUGAUGCAGCAACGCCGCGUGGAGGAUGAAGUCCCUUGGGACGUAAACUCCUUUCGACCGGGACGAUAAUGACGGUACCGGUGGAAGAAGCCCCGGCUAACUUCGUGCCAGCCGCCGCGGUAAUUC
rnacentral:rRNA from 1 species